ACUUAGCUAGGCUACAGAAUGUUGCAACUCAGUUUACGUUCUUAUUACCAUUUUUCCGCUUCGAUCGUUAGGAUAUUGUUAGGAUAUCGACACUAAUGUUAUUAUCAAUACGUUCACGAAAAGUAAAAGCCAUGUUUUUGUAAUUGGCGCUCGAAAACGAAUAGCCCCGUGGCGCUGAAAACCUUAAUCCGGCUCUGAUUCAAAUGAAUGUUU